rnacentral:rRNA from 1 species
UACGUAGGGUGCGAGCGUUAAUCGGAAUUACUGGGCGUAAAGCGUGCGCAGGCGGUUCGUUAUGUCUGAUGUGAAAGCCCCGGGCUCAACCUGGGAAUGGCAUUGGAAACUGGCGGACUUGAGUGUGGCAGAGGGGGGUGGAAUUCCGCGUGUAGCAGUGAAAUGCGUAGAUAUGCGGAGGAACACCGAUGGCGAAGGCAGCCCCCUGGGCCAACACUGACGCUCAUGCACGAAAGCGUGGGGAGCAAACAGG